rfam:Stegodyphus mimosarum contig88844, whole genome shotgun sequence.
GCCUUCGUGGUGUAGUGGUCAGCACACUCGACACGUAUUCAAGAGGUCCGUGGUUCGAGUCCGGGCGAGAGCC